rnacentral:ncRNA from 2 species
GUGCGGGGCCGUGACUGGCGCUGAGGUGGAGUACCACCGGGGAGCGGCCCACAUGGGAGUCGAUGCCGCGCGCCUGGGCGAUCCGG